ACGGGAGGCAGCAGUGGGGGAUAUUGCACAAUGGGGGAAACCCUGAUGCAGCGACGCCGCGUGAGUGAAGAAGUAUUUCGGUAUGUAAAGCUCUAUCAGCAGGGAAGAUAAUGACGGUACCUGAAUAAGAAGCCCCGGCUAACUACGUGCCAGCAGCCGCGGUAAUACGUAGGGGGCAAGCGUUAUCCGGAUUUACUGGGUGUAAAGGGAGCGUAGACGGCAAGGCAAGUCUGAUGUGAAAACCCGGGGCUCAACCUCGGGACUGCAUUGGAAACUGUCUGGCUAGAGUGCAGGAGAGGUAAGUGGAAUUCCUAGUGUAGCGGUGAAAUGCGUAGAUAUUAGGAGGAACACCAGUGGCGAAGGCGGCUUACUGGACUGUAACUGACGUUGAGGCUCGAAAGCGUGGGUAGCAAACAGGAUUAGAUACCCUGGUA
rnacentral:rRNA from 1 species